GGGCUCCGGGCGGCCGUGACCCUGCUGGAGUCCGGGGGGGACCUCCAGCCCCCCGGGGGGUCCCUGCGCCUCCUCUGCCGCGCCUCGGGCUUCAAUUUCGGGAGCUACGACAUGUUCUGGGUCCGCCAGAGACCCGGGCAGGCGCUGGAGUGGCUCGCGGGGAUCAGCAGCCCUGGUGGUUCUUACACCGCGUACGCGCCGUCGGUGAAGGGCCGGGCGACGAUCUCCAGGGACAACGGGCAGAGCUCGGUGACGCUGACCAUGAACGGCCUCAAGGACGAGGAUUCCGGCUCCUAUUUCUGUGCCAAAUCUGCUUACAGUGGUUGGGGUUAUGCUGCUGUUGCUGCUGCUGGUGCUGUUGCGUUUAAGCUGAUUCCGCUCUUGGUCCCAAGCCCCCUCCACUUUGUACCCAAAUGUCCCCGAAUUCUCUGA